GAUUAAUAAGAAAAGUAUUUCAUCUCAUUUCGUCCUGUCAUUUGGCGUUCUCCUUGCUGUUCUCACAGUAGUUGGAAUAAGCUACACUAUUGCAAAAAAGAAGCAUCAUUUCCGUCAAAAUAUUCCAGAUUCCAACGAUUCGUCAUUUAGAAAUACUCAUGAACAGAAGAAAAUGGAAAUGCAAGACAGGGCUAAGGAAAAGUUCGACACUGGUACUCCAUAUUCUUCUUCAGGUGAAUCCAGCCUCAAUACAGGAGGCAAAUCACUCGUAAUUGGAAACAGUGGAAUGGAAAUUGCAAAAGAUAAAACGUUUACACCAUCCACAAUGCAAAUGCCAGACUAUUGUAUGGAUAGUUAUCAUGCAAGAAGAUUUUCACCAGAAAGACUAUAUUCACUCUAUAAAAAA